rnacentral:rRNA from 1 species
ACUAGAAAGUGUUUAAUUAUGGCACAUCCGGAUGGGUAUCUAGGGAUCUAACACAUGCAAGUCUAAUGGUGACACUAGUCAUCAUGGCGUACAGGUCAGGAAAAUUGGGAAGAUACCUUAAGAACUAUGAGAAUCAUAGAUAAUGAAAGGGUAAUAAUCCGUCUUAAGAUUCGCUCAAUACCCAACAGAUAGUUGGUGGGGUAAAGCCUAACAAGUCUAUAAGGGGUAGAGAAGGAUGAAAGUCCUACACUCGACAUUGGAAAUGAGAAAGUCCAAAGCAUCACUUGAUGCGCAGCAGUGAAGAAUAUUGGUCAAUGCACUAAAGUGUGAACCAGUCACCUAGAUUCUAUAGAAUAGAUGUCGUACUUAUGAAUAAUGAUCAAAGUACUAUAAGUCCUGUCCAAACUCUGUGCCAGCAGACGCGGUAAGACAGAAAGGGCGACCCAUUGGAAUUAUAAAUUGGUGUAAAGGAUACGUAGCCGGCCGUAAAAAUGGCUAGAGUCAAAUAGAAGUGAUUACAAUACCUAGAGUAGGGCUGAUAUCUUAUGAUACUAGGGGGAGUGCUAAAGGCGAAGGCAUAUCACUAGGUAAUGACUGACGGUGAGGUAUGAAGGCUAAGGUAGCGAUAGGGAUUAGAUACCCCAGUAGUCUUAGCUGUCAACGAUGCAGAUUAAGAAUUAGUUAAGUUUAGCUAGUUCUGAUGCUAACGCGUUAAAUCUGCCACCUGUAGAGUAUAGUCGCAUGGCUGAAAUACAAAUAAUUAGACUGUUCGUAAGCAAACGGAGUGGAGCAUGUUAUUUAAUACGAUAACCCGCGUAGAAUCUUACCACAUCUUGCAUACCUCAAUUAUCUUUAAAGAUAGAGUGUACAGGUGCUGCAUGGCUGUCGCCAGUUAGUGCUCGUGAGGCCUAAGGUUAAUUCCGUUGAACUAACGCAAUCCUUGCUAUGAGUUGAUAUCUCGUAGUUUCGUUCUGAUAAGGAACGAUUUUAGAAGGACUAUGACAAGCCCUCAUGGCCCUUAUGGUGUGGGCUAUAGACGUGCUACAAGAAUGCUUACAAAAUGAUGCAAUAUCGAAAGAAGGAGCUAAUCACAAAAUGGCAUUAAUGUACGGAUUGUAUUCUGGAACUCGAAUACAUGAAGCAGGAAUUCCGAGUAAUCGUGCAUCACCACGGCACGGUGAAAUUAAAUCUUACGUUAGUACUAACCGCUCGUCACGGGCUGAGAGAUCGAAAGCUAUGAAGUAGCGAUUAAGUAAUAUAUCUACAAGUAUUCAAGUAAUCACCCAUAGGGUAAUGAGUAUUAUUUAGUUGUUUCGAGUGGUCAAGAUUGAUUGGUCUGAAGUCGAAACAAGGUAGCUUUUGGGGAACCAGAUGCUGAUUAAUAACAAAU